GCACGGGUGGUAGAGCGGUCAAUUACACAGCGCUGUAAACGCUGCGCCUUCGGGCUACGCAGGUUCGAAUCCUGCCCCGUGCA
rnacentral:tRNA from 1 species